rnacentral:pre_miRNA from 1 species
GGAAUAUAAGAAUUCAUCUCUUAAUUUUAAAUUAAAAAAAUUAAGAACCGUCUUUUAAAACUCUUAUUUAAAAGCCGGUUCUUAGUUUUUUUAGUUAAAAGUUAAGAUACGAGUUUUUAUAUUUC